GCACGUAGAUUAGCCGGCGCUUCUUCUGCAGGAUACCGAUCACUUUCGCUUCUUCCCUACUGAAAGAGGUUUACAACCCGCAAGGCCGUCAUCCCUCACGCGGCGUCGCUGCAUCAGGCUUUCGCCCAUUGUGCAAUAUUCCCCA
rnacentral:rRNA from 1 species